CGCGGCCCCGAGAGUCCCGCCGGCUCCUUUCUCCUGACCGCGGCCCCGCUGCGCGACCCGGGCUAAGGCGGCCGAGCCGAGGCUCCGAGAGAAAAGGGAAAUUGCAAAGUUCACCUAUAGUCAGCUUGACAGCAUAAUUGUCUAGGAAUCAAGAAUCAACAUUGGUUAUUUCCUAAGAUUAAACCUUGAAGCCCACUUGGAGGCUGCACAGCCUUCUGCACACUUGAACAUGAAGAGUGGCCUUCUUCAGCUAAAUCAUCAGAAGUGGUGAGAAGAAGAAGGGACCCCUACCCGGCCAGAAUCAUCCAGACAAAUUAAAUCAGUCUUUUUAAAAAGCAAGCUGCACGGGGAUGGCCAGAUCUCCAUGUUCUGCUCACACCAGCACUGAGCAGCCCCAUCCAGGACUGCCUGCCACCUAUAUGCAGGCGGUGCCAUGAACAAGGGCACCUGGCUGAGGCAGCCAAUGGGAGCUGACAUCCUGCUGAGUUCCACUCACCAAGCAGACUGGACUGGUGCAUGGUGUCUGCCCAGGCAAUGCGGCUCCUUCUGAUUUGCACCAAGGCGCCCUGUACGGGUUAGGAGCAACUAGGACCCUCCCACCCCCAUACACCAGUCCUAGCCAGGAUUAUAUUCCUUACUUCAGAUAGAUUAAAGGUUCUCUUGAACAUUUUAGGAUUAUUGUAAAAGAUGAAAUAUUUGACACAGUUGAAAUUGAAUUGGUAAAGGUCCAAAUAUUACCAUGUAUAUGAAUUAUGUAUGUAUAUAUUUAUAUAUGCACACACUUAUAGUAUGUUGAUACAUAUUUCUAUGUAUCAGAAGUUAGCACAACCUAAAUUUGGUAAAUGUUUAAAAUAAAAUUAUUUGGGUUAUUGCAAUCAGUUUUGUAUAUGGAUUUCUGGACUUCACAGAAAUAUACAGUAUUUCAUUCCAUUUCUACAAAUAUAUAUUAAGUGUCAGGGACUGUGCUAAGCAAUUUAUAUACAGUAAUGAAAAAAAAUACAAACACCCUGCCUCUAGGUAGUUAAUAAUCUAGUAAGGAAGUCAGAUGAUAGGUUCAUAAAUUUAUGAUUAUGACUUGUGGUAAGAGUUAUAAAAAAAUGCCAAGAUGGAGAAUAUCAAGGCACACUUAUUUCAGAUUAAGUGACUGGAAAAAGCCUUUCUGUGAAAAUGAAAUUUCAGCAGAGACCUGAGAAGAGUCAGAAGGAGUUUAUGAAGUGACUCCACCCUGCCAUUUAGAGUACAGAAGCAUUAGAAUUCAAAAUAGAAUGUGAUACAUUAAAGGGAAAGUACAGAAUACACUCGAUAACUAAGAAAGGAGAGGCUACAAGCCAAGUUCAUAGUGUGGAUUAUAGACUAGGUAACUAAUAAAAAGUUAUACUCA